UUAAUUGAGAGUUUGAUCCUGGCUCAGGAUGAACGCUGGCGGCGUGCCUAACACAUGCAAGUCGAACGAACGAUAUUGAAUGAAAACCUCGGUUAGAUUUUAAUAAAGUUAGUGGCGGACGGGUGAGUAACACGUAAGUAAUCAACCCAUGACAGAAGAAUAACUAAGAGAAAUUUUAGCUAAAACUUCAUAAAUUAAGACUACGGGAGUAGACUUAAAGAAAACUGAGGUGGUCAUGGACGAGCUUGCGACUGAUUAGCCAGUUGGUGAGGUAACGGCCCACCAAAGCAACGAUCAGUAGCCGACCUGAGAGGGUGAUCGGCCACAUUGGUACUGAGAACGGACCAAACUCCUACGGGAGGCAGCAGUGGGGGAUAUUGCACAAUGGAGGCAACUCUGAUGCAGCAACGCCGCGUGAGUGAAGAAGGCUUUCGAGUCGUAAAACUCUGUCGUAUGGGAAGAAAAAAAUGACGGUACCAUACAAGAAAGCCCCGGCUAACUACGUGCCAGCAGCCGCGGUAAUACGUAGGGGGCAAGCGUUAUCCGGAAUUACUGGGCGUAAAGGGUGCGUAGGCGGUAAUAUAAGUUGGAGUUUUAAACCAUGGGCUCAACCCAUGUCAGGCUCCAAAACUGUAUAACUUGAGUACUGGAGAGGAAAGUGGAAUUCCUAGUGUAGCGGUGAAAUGCGUAGAUAUUAGGAGGAAUACCGGUGGCGAAGGCGACUUUCUGGACAGUAACUGACGCUGAGGCACGAAAGCGUGGGUAGCAAACAGGAUUAGAUACCCUGGUAGUCCACGCCGUAAACGAUGAACACUAGGUGUUGGGAGUAAUCUCAGUGCCGUAAGCAAACGCAAUAAGUGUUCCGCCUGGGGAGUACGGUCGCAAGACUAAAACUCAAAGGAAUUGACGGGGACCCGCACAAGUAGCGGAGCAUGUGGUUUAAUUCGAAGCAACGCGAAGAACCUUACCUAAGCUUGACAUGGGAGUGAAAAAUA
rnacentral:ncRNA from 1 species